GCCUGAAACGCUGUCCACACAGCCUGAAAGCAGAAGUGAAUCAUCUCUGAGUUAAUCCCACUCUCCAAUGAGCUGAACUGAAGAUCCAGAACCACGGAGAUGCAUUCAAGAUCCCCAGUGAGUGCCUGAAACUUCAGAAGUACGGAACCCUACAUACACCAUGUUUUUUUUUUUUUUUCUAUACAUACAUACCUAUGAUGAAGUUGAAUUUAUAAAUUAGGCACAGUAAGAGAUUAACAACAAUAACUACUAAUAAAAUAGAAAAAUAUUAACAACAUACUGUAAUAAAAGUUAUGUGACUGUG